AUUAUUAGUUACCAUUUACCUUAUUUGGGUAUAUUAUAGUAAAUAUUUGUAACAGUAAACUUUUUAACUUUUUAGUUGAAGGCCUAUCAAUUCUUCUAGAGAACAUUGAUUGAUUUGAAGAUCAAAGGGACCUAUCAGGAAAUUCUCAACAAUAUCCAGUUGGAUUUUUAUUUGAGGCACUUCGAAAGGAACCUGCCAGCAUUUAACCUGUAACCACCACGCAAGAAAUCUCGACGGAUGUACACGGCGGCUAUUUGUUAUUAUGUUCUUCGUAUUAACUAUUGUACGAGAUCCAGGUUUGUUAUAGUUUGACUGAACUAAAACAUACCGAGUUGUACAAUCUCAAGACAUCGUACAGUGUUGUUAACAACAGAAUGAUCUCAGAAAACACGACAAGGAAGGUUAACAAUGAAAAAAAA